GAAUCUUCCGCAAUGGACGAAAGUCUGACGGAGCAACGCCGCGCGAGUGAAGAAGGCCUUCGGGUCGUAAAACUCUGUUGUUAGGGAAGAACAAGGGUCGGAGUAACGGCCGGCACAUUGACGGUACCUAACCAGAAAGCCACGGCUAACUACGUACCAGCAGCCGCGGUAAGACGUAGGUGGCAAGCGUUGUCCGGGAUUAUUGGGCGUAAAUGGCGCGCAGGCGGUUUCUUAAGUCUGAUGUGAAAGCCCCCGGCUCAACCGGGGAGGGUCAUUGGAAACUGGGAAACUUGAGUGCAGAAGAGAAGAGCGGAAUUCCACGUGUAGCGGUGAAAUGCGUAGAGAUGUGGAGGAACACCAGUGGCGAAGGCGGCUCUUUGGUCCGUAACUGACGCUGAGGCGCGAAAGCGUGGGGAGCAAACA
rnacentral:rRNA from 1 species